GAACGCUGGCGGCGCGCCUAACACAUGCAAGUCGAACGAGCGAGAGAGAGCUUGCUUUCUUGAGCGAGUGGCGAACGGGUGAGUAACGCGUGAGGAACCUGCCUCAAAGAGGGGGACAACAGUUGGAAACGACUGCUAAUACCGCAUAAGCCCACGACCCGGCAUCGGGUUGAGGGAAAAGGAGCAAUCCGCUUUGAGAUGGCCUCGCGUCCGAUUAGCUAGUUGGUGAGGUAACGGCCCACCAAGGCGACGAUCGGUAGCCGGACUGAGAGGUUGAACGGCCACAUUGGGACUGAGACACGGCCCAGACUCCUACGGGAGGCAGCAGUGGGGAAUAUUGCACAAUGGGGGAAACCCUGAUGCAGCGACGCCGCGUGGAGGAAGAAGGUCUUCGGAUUGUAAACUCCUGUUGUUGAGGAAGAUAAUGACGGUACUCAACAAGGAAGUGACGGCUAACUACGUG
rnacentral:rRNA from 1 species